AGUGAACGCUGGUGGUAGGCCUAACACAUGCAAGUCGAACGGCAGCACAGUAAGAGCUUGCUCUUACGGGUGGCGAGUGGCGGACGGGUGAGGAAUACAUCGGAAUCUACUUUUUCGUGGGGGAUAACGUAGGGAAACUUACGCUAAUACCGCAUACGACCUACGGGUGAAAGCAGGGGAUCUUCGGACCUUGCGCGAUUGAAUGAGCCGAUGUCGGAUUAGCUAGUUGGCGGGGUAAAGGCCCACCAAGGCGACGAUCCGUAGCUGGUCUGAGAGGAUGAUCAGCCACACUGGAACUGAGACACGGUCCAGACUCCUACGGGAGACAGCAGUGGGGAAUAUUGGACAAUGGGCGCAAGCCUGAUCCAGCCAUACCGCGUGGGUGAAGAAGGCCUUCGGGUUGUAAAGCCCUUUUGUUGGGAAAGAAAAGCAGCAGGUUAAUACCCCGCUGUUCUGACGGUACCCAAAGAAUAAGCACCGGCUACUUCGU
rnacentral:rRNA from 1 species